rnacentral:rRNA from 1 species
CUUACCAUGCAGUCGAACGGUGAAAGAGGAGCUUGCUCCUCUGGAUCAGUGGCGAACGGGUGAGUAACACGUGAGUAACCUGCCCUUGACUCUGGGAUAACCUCGGGAAACCGAAGCUAAUACCGGAUACGACCCUCGGAGGCAUCUCCAGGGGGUGGAAAGAACUUCGGUCAAGGAUGGACUCGCGGCCUAUCAGGUAGUUGGUGAGGUAACGGCUCACCAAGCCGACGACGGGUAGCCGGCCUGAGAGGGUGACCGGCCACACUGGGACUGAGACACGGCCCAGACUCCUACGGGAGGCAGCAGUGGGGAAUAUUGCACAAUGGGCGCAAGCCUGAUGCAGCAACGCCGCGUGAGGGACGACGGCCUUCGGGUUGUAAACCUCUUUUAGUAGGGAAGAAGCGAAAGUGACGGUACCUGCAGAAAAAGCACCGGCUAACUACGUGCCAGCAGCCGCGGUAAUACGUAGGGUGCAAGCGUUGUCCGGAAUUAUUGGGCGUAAAGAGCUCGUAGGCGGUUUGUCGCGUCUGCUGUGAAAACCCGAGGCUCAACCUCGGGCCUGCAGUGGGUACGGGCAAACUAGAGUGCGGUAGGGGAGAAUGGAAUUCCUGGUGUAGCGGUGGAAUGCGCAGAUAUCAGGAGGAACACCGAUGGCGAAGGCAGUUCUCUGGGCCGUAACUGACGCUGAGGAGCGAAAGCGUGGGGAGCGAACAGGAUUAGAUACCCUGGUAGUCCACGCCGUAAACGUUGGGCGCUAGAUGUGGGGAUCAUUCCACGGGUUUCCGUGUCGCAGCUAACGCAUUAAGC